GGCUUCAUAGAAGAUAGCUGGAGUCUCACAUCUGCUUCUGCAUUGAAUCUGUUGCAAUAUAUUGCUAGGGUUGAAGUAUAUGAAGAAAACCCAGCCUCAGGAAAUGAGAGAGAGAGGAAGGAAGGAAAGAGGAGAAGAGAAAAGGAAGAAAGAUGAGAUGGGAAACUCAUCUUCCAACCACAUUGAAAAGCCAUCCAGAACCAAAGUGGCAAAACACUAGUGACUGGGAGCCCAGUGAUGAGUCAUAGGAGACAUGGACAGACCAGAGGAGCCUAAGGAGACAAGACAUCCAAAUGCAACGUGGGAUGCUGGAACAGAAAAGGACAUUGGUGGGAACACUGGUAAAAUCCAAAUAAAAUCUGGAGUUUAGUUAAUAGUAAUGGAUCACUGUUAAUUUCUUUGUUCUGGGAAAUGUACCAUAGUUAGGUAUGUUAACAUGGUGGGAAGUUGGGAUAGGGCAUUUGGGAACUUGGUACUAUCUUGCAACAUUUCUAUAAAU